rnacentral:rRNA from 1 species
AUUGAACGCUGGCGGCAUGCCUUACACAUGCAAGUCGAACGGCAGCACGGGAGCAAUCCUGGUGGCGAGUGGCGAACGGGUGAGUAAUAUAUCGGAACGUGCCCAGUCGUGGGGGAUAACGUAGCGAAAGCUACGCUAAUACCGCAUACGAUCUAUGGAUGAAAGCGGGGGAUCGCAAGACCUCGCGCGAUUGGAGCGGCCGAUAUCAGAUUAGGUAGUUGGUGAGGUAAAGGCUCACCAAGCCGACGAUCUGUAGCUGGUUUGAGAGAACGACCAGCCACACUGGGACUGAGACACGGCCCAGACUCCUACGGGAGGCAGCAGUGGGGAAUUUUGGACAAUGGGCGCAAGCCUGAUCCAGCAAUGCGCGUGCAGGA